rnacentral:rRNA from 1 species
CUACGGGGGGCUCCAGUGGGGAAUAUUGCACAAUGGGCGCAAGCCUGAUGCAGCAACGCCGCGUGAACGAUGAAGGCCUUCGGGUUGUAAAGUUCUUUUCUUAGGGAAGAAUAAAUGACGGUACCUAAGGAAUCAGCCCCGGCUAACUACGUGCCAGCAGCCGCGGUAAUACGUAGGGGGCAAGCGUUAUCCGGAAUCACUGGGCGUAAAGGGAGUGUAGGCGGUCAAGCAAGUCAGAGGUGAAAGGCAUCGGCUCAACCGAUGUAAGCCUUUGAAACUGUUUGACUUGAGUGCAGGAGAGGUAAGUGGAAUUCCUAGUGUAGCGGUGAAAUGCGUAGAUAUUAGGAGGAACACCAGUGGCGAAGGCGACUUACUGGACUGUAACUGACGCUGAGGCUCGAAAGCGUGGGGAGCGAACAGGAUUAGAUACCCCGGUAGUC